rnacentral:rRNA from 16 species
GGUUACGAUCAUACCAGCACUAAAGCACUGAAUCCCAUCAGAACUCUGAAGUUAACCGUGCUUCGGCAUGAGUAGUACUAGAAUGGGUGACCUCCUGGGAAGUCCUCAUGUUGCAUUCC